rnacentral:lncRNA from 1 species
CUGUUAAAAUAGUGUUUAUGCAAAAAUAAUUUAGAAAACCAUAAAAAUCCCUGAAGAAAGUCUGAGAAAGAGGUGCAAGGAGAGAGGGAGAAUUUCCAGCUUCAUCAAAACUGUGUGCAGAUGGAGCCUCUGCAGGUUUGUCAUCCCAGCAGUGAUGUGGACAACACGAACACAACAGAGGCAGCCACCGGUCUUUAACAGCACCACCAGCCCAUCCCAAAGUCCAUCAGAGGCACCUGCGAAUCCACAGCCACAGCUCUUUCCUCAGCAGACAUCAUCCUGCCUGUUACAGAGGAAGUGGGCACUGCCGGGCAGAGCCCCAGCUCUUC